rnacentral:rRNA from 1 species
GCCUACGGGGGGCAGCAGUGAGGAAUAUUGGUCAAUGGGCUUACGCCUGAACCAGCCAAGUCGCGUGAGGGAAGACUGCCCUAUGGGUUGUAAACCUCCUUUGUCAGGGAGCAACGCCGGCUACGUGUAGCCGGACUGAGAGUACCUGAAGAAGAAGCAUCGGCUAACUCCGUGCCAGCAGCCGCGGUAAUACGGAGGAUGCGAGCGUUAUCCGGAUUUAUUGGGUUUAAAGGGUGCGUAGGCGGAAUGCCAAGUCAGCGGUAAAAUCGCGGGGCUCAACCCCGCUCCGCCGUUGAAACUGGCGU